rnacentral:rRNA from 1 species
UACGAAGGGUGCAAGCGUUAUCCGGAAUUACUGGGUUUAAAGGGUGCGUAGGCGGCUUGGUAAGUCAGGGGUGAAAGCCCGCAGCUCAACUGUGGACUUGCCUUUGAUUCUGCCGAGCUUGAAUCAGGAUGAGGUUGGCGGAAUGUGACAUGUAGCGGUGAAAUGCUUAGAUAUGUCAUAGAACACCGAUUGCGAAGGCAGCUGGCUAGACCUUGAUUGACGCUGAGGCACGUAAGCGUGGGGAGCGAACAGG